UGGUGGUGAUGAUGAGGGAGACCCGAAAGAGUGAAGGUGCUUCCCAGUACACACACAGAGCCACACUCAUCAUCCCUGCCUCAGAUCUUGUCCAGCACCUUUAGGGCUGGCUGGCGUUGUGUCCUUCAGCAGCCCCAAGCAGGUGGAGAAGUGGAGAACAACCUGAGAUGUGCAGCGGGAGCUGUCCUCUGUGACCCCAGGCCAGGGAUCCCCAAACUUGGAGUCUUUGUUUCCCCAUCUGUCAAACAAGGGGAAUGAACUUUGUCACUGCUAAGCGUUGCUCCAAAGUGGGUGGGGAAGGCAGGGUCAGCCUGUUCCAAGGCUCCGGUCUGAACAGUGUCCCCAUCGUGCCCACAGACGAUGUCUCCUGAGCUUCCAGAGCCCCGAUGUGAGGGCCCGAGUGCACGGGAACAGGAAGCGCCUGAGAUGCUGGAGGAGACUGCAGCUCAAGCGCCCUCAGUGGCUCCCCGCUGCUGGUGGAUGAGUUAGCCCUCCUGGCCCAAGCUUGCGCACCAUCUGCCCUGUACCCACCACCUGGGGGCAGGAAGGUCCAGGGUGGUGGCUUUCCAACUCACGGCGAGAGGCAGUUUCGCACCCUGUUGGGGCGCACGCCCGCCACUCCCGCUGCCCUCGGUGAACUCGUGAGCCCUGCCCCUCUCCUCGACCCCUGCACUUGGCCCUCUCUCUCGCCUCUGCCUGUCGUCUUUCCCGUGUGUGGCUGAGCCUCUAGAGCCUGGCUCCAGCCCACACCGGUCAGGCUGCUGGCUCUACCUUUCCCUGCCAUUGCCCCGUCUGUGCCUCCCGGAAAGACAAGUGGUUACUCCACGGUAGCCCUCUGGUGUUCCUGGGGUCCGCAGAUGAACACCGCUCGGAACCAUCUGAAGCUCCACAGGUGUUAAUGUGGGGUGGGGGCAGCUGCGAACCCCAGGAGACGCUCAGACCAUGUGGCUGGUGCUUAUUUAGCUGCAGACAGUGCCUGCCAUAUGGGGAGAGGGACCUUGCAUUGCCAGAUGUUCCAAAUCUCCAAGAGAAGGCAUAAAUCCGGGUAUUUUUAAACACAAAAUCCCUCAGCAUUUAAAUGUUAAAACUAAUUCAAACGCAAAAAAGCACUGUGUGGGCCAAAUAAGAUCUGCCGGUGGGUGGACUAGAGCUGGCUGGUCUGUGAGCCCUGGUGAGUGGCAGGCGGAGGGAGAGGCCCACAGCAGAGCUGAGAAGGAGCAGCCGAGGUGUGGGGGACGCUGGCAGAGGCCCCCGCGCUGCCUCCCACAGGAGAGCCUCUCGGCCAGCUGCCCUAGCAGAGGCGGGCGCAUCCUGGGUGCGAGACUCUCGUGGGCUCCCCGCAGCUCCACCGCUGGGGGCCUGUGAGGCAGAGGCAGGAGUUGUGAGGGCACCGGAGCAGUCACCGGGGGCUCGGUGCUCCGUGACAUCAGCUGGCAACAGACGCAGUCGGGUGGCUCGGUGAGCCGAGUAGCCUCACAGACACUGUUCACCUGAGUGCCCAUCACGUCCCAGGCACCGCGUCCUGUUCUGGGCGGUGGAGAUGAGGAAUAAGUCUCCCAUCCGUGCAGCGGAUGGACGUUGUUCCUGGAGUGGGGGAGGCAGAGAAUACGCAAAGGAGUGACGCAGCCUCCUGAGGACACCAGAGCUGGGAGGUUGCAGAGAUGAUGAGGGACCCUGCCAAGCCUGUGACUCUCCGUCCUGCCCCCUGCAGGAGCGUCCGGAAGGUCCACAAACUGCCUGGUGGGCAGGAGUGCUGCCCCGGCUAUAGGCGGGACGCUAGGGAGAGAGGGCUUGGGGCUGGUGGGAACAGCAGAACUCCCGGGCCCUCGCCCACAGCUGCCCUGCACUCCCUGUGCGGUGCUCACCUGGGUCUCCCCCAAGUCACCCAACUGCAGCAAUGCUCUCACUCACUAGUCCUGGACGGCCGCAGUCCCCAGCACACCAUUGUGAGGCACAAGACGUUUUUAAGGUAGACAAUGGCUAAGCCAACAGACCAGGAGUUGGUGCUGUUGGAAAGAGAGGAAGCAUCCAGCAUGCAGGGACGUGUGCGGAGGCACUGCGUUGGUCAGGAGGAAGAGGGGCCCGGGAAGGGCGGGCAGGAGGCUUUGCAGGUGGGAAUUGUGUGAGGCAUGGGUCAGCACCGCAAAUAACUUCAGGCCUCUGGGCAUCAGCUGCCCCCAGAGGCUGUGAGCCAGGAGUGACCCUCAGGGAGGAAGGGCGGGUGCAGCUCAGGGUAAGGGCACCACGGUCCCCAGUGAGUUGGGCUCUGUCUUUAAGCGCCGACCAGGCCUGAGCGGGCCAGGCCCGUCCUGGACAACGAGGCCCUGAGGUGUGAACCACCAAGACGUGGCCCGAGGCAUGAAGACCACACAAGACCUGCGGCUCAGGAUCCACUGAGGACACGUGAGACGCUCGCCUCCCGUUCUUGAGUGUGGGUGGCGUGGCUCUUGUGAACGGUGCUGCUGUGAACAUGGGCGUGCAAACACCUCUCAGACCCUGCCUUCCACUAUUUCAGGCAGAGAACACCCAGAGAAGAGCAACUGAGGUGAUUUUGAGGGUUUGCAGGAAAGGCGAUCGCCAGUGUUUACACCACUUCUAGACCCCCGCAGCACGGCUAGAAAUCUCCAGAUUGUCCUAUGCCUGCAGCUGCCUCAGGCCCCGGGGAGAGCAGUGCCAGCCCCUUGGAGUCGGGCCUUGGCCGACAUAGACUUCAGCAUUCUAAAGGCUUCUGAGCACACAGCUCAGAGCCGCCGGGUCCAUUCACAUUGCUGUGCAGCCGUCACCACCGUCCACCUCCCGGACGUCAUCCAUUUUCAAGCUUAAUCACUGUAUCCAUCCAAUAGCUCCUCACACCCGCUACCUCCCCAGCUCUUCCUGCCCACUGCUCUCUCCUACCCACCACUCUCCGCCUCUGUGAGCUUGAGCACUGCGUGGACCCCAUCAACCCAGAGUCCUACAGUAUCGAGGCUGGCUUCUCUCACUCUGCCUGACGUCCUCAAGGUUCAUUCAUGCUGAGCAUGUGUCUAAUCUUCUCUCUGUUGAAGGCUUGGCACGACUGCAUGAUACGGAGUGUCAGCAUUAUAGCUUAUUCUAGAUGGCCCCCAAAGCUUCACACGCGCGUAUGUGGGGCUUUGUGGAGCUGGAUGGAUCUAGGGUGUGUGAUACUGGGGUUAAGGGUAUGUGGCACUACAUUAGGCCACUGAUUUCACUUAGCAGAGCUGUAGGUGUGGCUGAAUGGAUUUACUGGAGACAGAAGCCCCCCUCUGUAUAUGCAUGGCACCACCCAGAUGUCUUAUAGCCUGGGUGGGAUAAAAAGGAAAGAGGCUGCUGCUCA